UACAGAGGUCUCAAGCGUUGUUCGGAUUCAUUGGGCGUAAAGCGCACGUAGGCGGCCUAUCAAGUCGGGUGUGAAAGCCCUGGGCUCAACCCAGGAAGUGCACUCGAAACUGAAGGGCUUGAAUAUGGAAGAGGGUCGCGGAAUUCCCGGUGUAGAGGUGAAAUUCGUAGAUAUCGGGAGGAACACCAGUGGCGAAGGCGGCGACCUGGGCCAAUAUUGACGCUGAGGUGCGAAAGCGUGGGGAGCAAACAGG
rnacentral:rRNA from 1 species